GACGAACGCUGGCGGCGUGCUUAACACAUGCAAGUCGAACGAAGUGGCGAACGGGUGAGUAACGCAUAAUCACCCUGCCCUUCAGAGGGGGAAAACAGUUGGAAACGACUGCUAAUACCGCAAACUGAAGGAGGGGAUUGCGUCGGAUAAGCUAGUUGGGGGGGUAAGGGUCCACCAAGGCGAUGAUCGGUAGCCGGUCUGAGAGGAGGAACGGCCACAUUGGGACGGAGACACGGCCCAGACUCCUACGGGAGGCAGCAGUGGGGAAUCUUCCGCAAUGGACGAAAGUCUGACGGAGCAACGCCGCGGGAGUGAUGGCGGCCUUCGGGUUGGAAAGCUCUGUUAAUCGGGACGCGGUACCGGAAUAGAAAGCCACGGCUAACUACGUGCCAGCAGCCGCGGUAAUUC
rnacentral:rRNA from 1 species